ACCCUUGUAGCUCAGCGAAUAGAGCAGUCGUCUCCUAAACGACAGGUCGCGGGUUUAAAUCCCGCCUUGGGUGCCA
rnacentral:tRNA from 1 species